UACGUAUGGAGCAAGCGUUAUCCGGAUUUACUGGGUGUAAAGGGAGCGUAGACGGUGAGGCAAGUCUGAUGUGAAAGGUGUGGGCUCAACCCGCAAACUGCACUGGAAACUGUCCCGCUUGAGUGUCGGAGAGGUAAGUGGAAUUCCUAGUGUAGCGGUGAAAUGCGUAGAUAUUAGGAGGAACACCAGUGGCGAAGGCGGCUUACUGGACGAUUACUGACGCUGAGGCUCGAAAGCGCGGGGGGCAAAC
rnacentral:rRNA from 1 species